rnacentral:rRNA from 1 species
CCUACGUGUGGCUGCAGUGGGGAAUAUUGGGCAAUGGGCGCACGCCUGACCCAGCAACGCCGCGUGAAGGAAGAAGGCUUUCGGGUUGUAAACUUCUUUUCUCAGGGACGAAGAAAGUGACGGUACCUCAGGAAUAAGCCACGGCUAACUACGUGCCAGCAGCCGCGGUAAUACGUAGGUGGCAAGCGUUAGCCGGAUUUACUGGGUGUAAAGGGCGUGUAGGCGGGAAAGCAAGUCAGAGGUGAAAACCAUGGGCUCAACCUUUGGUCUGCAUUUGAAACUGUUUUUCUUGAGUACUGGAGAGGCAGACGGAAUUACUAGUGUAGCGGUGAAAGGCGUAGAUAGUAGGAGGAACACCAGGGGCGAAGGCGGUCUGAUGGACAGCAACGGACGCUGAGGCGCGAAAGCGUGGGGAGCAAACAGGAUUAGAUACCCUUGUAGUC